rnacentral:rRNA from 1 species
GAUGGGGUGAGUAAACGCGUCAUGCAACCAUGACCUCUGACAGGGGAAAUAGCCCUGGAGCAAAUUCGGAUUUAAUGCGUACAUGGUUGCAAUUUCAUGGCAUCGUUUGAUUGAUAAAGAUUUAUCGGUAAUAGAUGGGCAUGCGUAUCAUCAGCUCGUAGGUGUGGUAACGGCAUACCAAGGCUACGAUGAUUAGCGGUCCUGAGAGGGAGAUCCCCCACACUGGUACUGAGACACGGACCAGAAUACUACGGGAGGCAGCAGUGAGGAAUAUUGGUCAAUGGAGGCAACUCUGAACCAGCCAUGCCGCGUGCAGGAUGACGGUCCUAUGGAUUGUAAACUGCUUUUGUACGGGAAGAAAUGUAAUCACGUGUAAUUAUUUGACGGUACCGUAAGAAUAAGGAUCGGCUAUCUCCGUGCCAGCAGCCGCGGUAAUACGGAGGAUCCGAGCGUUAUCCGGAAUUAUUGGGUUUAAAGGGUUCGUAGGCGGUUGAGUAAGUCAGUGGUGAAAUCUUAUAGCUUAACUAUAAAAUUGCCGUUGAUACUGCUUGACUUGAAUAGUAUGGAAGUAAUUAGAAUAUGUAGUGUAGCGGUGAAAUGCUUAGAUAUUACAUGGAAUACCAAUUGCGAAGGCAGGAUUCUACGACUUAUUGACGCU